rnacentral:tRNA from 1 species
GGACCGGUAGUUCAGCCGGUUAGAAUGCCGCCCUGUCACGGCGGAGGUCGCGGGUUCGAGUCCCGUCCGGUCCGCCA